rnacentral:rRNA from 1 species
GACGAACGCUGGCGGCGUGCUUAACACAUGCAAGUCGAACGGAAAGGCCCUGCUUUUGUGGGGUGCUCGAGUGGCGAACGGGUGAGUAACACGGGAGUAACCUGCCCUUUACUUGGGGAUAACUUCAGGAAACUGGGGCUAAUACCUGAUAGGAGCUCCUGCUGCAUGGUGGGGUUUGGAAAGUUUCGGCGGUUGGGGAUGGACUCGCGGCUUAUCAGCUUGUUGGUGGGGUAGUGGCUUACCAAGGCUUUGACGGGUAGCCGGCCUGAGAGGGUGACCGGCCACAUUGGGACUGAGAUACGGCCCAGACUCCUACGGGAGGCAGCAGUGGGGAAUAUUGCACAAUGGGCGGAAGCCUGAUGCAGCAACGCCGCGUGCGGGAUGGCGGCCUUCGGGUUGUAAACCGCUUUCGCCUGUGACGAAGCGUGAGUGACGGUAAUGGGUAAAGAAGCACCGGCUAACUACGUG